GAACUUAGUAGUGCUAGCUGGGCUGGCCACAUUUUCCUAUGUAAUACAUGUAGAAGUAUGGAUCUAUAUAAGGAGUGGUCAUAUUUUCACAAAAUCUUUAAGAUAAAUGAAAACAGCAAAUGUAUAUGUUUAAAAAGACAACUUUUUUUAAGCUCCCACUAAACUAACAUUGUUUAUUCAAUUGUUUACCUUGUUUAACCGAAAACACAUUAUCUAUUAUGAAAUAAUGGUAUUAUUAUAAUGUUGUCAAAUGUCCAGCACUGUACAAUUGUAUGAAAUACUCAAUUAUUUUUAAUUAUUUGACUGAGUUAUAUCGUUUAUGGGCUUGUACAGUGUGUCCAUUGUUCAUGUGAUGUGGACCUAUUAUUCUGUACAUGUAUGUAUCAGUGAAGGCUGUUGGCGGGUAAAUGUCACUUGUAUAUGUAUGCAAUGCUAAAUACAGCUACCACAUAC
rnacentral:sRNA from 1 species